UAAUCCAUUCCAACUUGCCAUCCUGCCUCGU
rnacentral:piRNA from 1 species